UGUGUCGGCGCUGGCCCGUGCGAGCGCUAGUCCGCACCGCACCGCACCGCGAGACCGUGCGACACCUGACCCGCGAACCGUCGCGUACACGCCCUCGGAGCCCGGGAGAAAAGUGACCCGAGUCCUUUGAAUACUGUCGUUGAUCCCGAGACGUAACUGAUAACGCGCGCAGUGCAUGUGCUCGUCGUCCACGACUUAGUGAAACCGAUACCGGGACCGGCGAUUGUGGCGCGAUGUAAAGAAGCCGCGACCGUGAAUCUAUGUGCGCAGGGCGGUGAGAGGAGGCGCGCGAGGGCAAGAUGGCCGCGCCGGCCAGCUGAUAGCAUGCGGGCGGCGGCGCGCCGGCCCGCCCCGACCUAGCCGAUCGCACCACGAGCGCCACAUUCACGGGCGCGCUGGAGGGCGGUCCACUGGGCGGCGGCGACGGCGGCGGCGCGCUCGGCGCGCUGCGUCCUGCCGGCUCGCCGCCCGCGCCCAGCCUCGGAGCCAGCCGACAUAGUC